GGCUGGUGAAUUACCAGAUCUCCGUCAAGUGCAGUAACCAGUUCAAGUUGGAAGUGUGUCUUUUGAAUGCAGAAAACAAAGUCGUGGACAACCAGGCUGGGACCCAGGGCCAGCUGAAGGUGCUGGGUGCCAACCUCUGGUGGCCGUACCUGAUGCACGAACACCCCGCCUACCUGUACUCGUGGGAGGAUGGUGAUUGCUCACACCAAAGCCUUGGACCCCUCCCAGCCUGUGACCUUUGUGACCAACUCCACCUACGCAGCAGACAAGGGGGCUCUGUAUGUGGAUGUGAUCCGUGUGAACAGCUACUACUCUUGGUAUCGCAACUACGGGCACCUGGAGUUGAUUCAGCUGCAGCUGGCCGCCCAGUUUGAGAAUUGGUGUAAGACAUCACAAUCCCAUUAUUCAGAGCGCGUAUGGAGUGGAAACGCUUGUAGGGUUUCACCAGGAUCCACCUCUGAUGUUCAGUGAAGAGGACCGGAAAAGUCUGCUAGAGCAGUACCAUCUGGGUCUGGAUCAAAAACGCAGAAAAUACGUGGUUGGAGAGCUCAUCUGGAAUUUUGCCGAUUUCAUGACUAACCAGUGUGUCAGUUUCUUGGUCGGGAAUGAAAAUAGUGCCAACCUGUGAUACCUUCACUCUAAUUUUACUUUCUGAGGAAGUUUUCUGUAAUAGUUAUUUGGUGAUAAUUAUUAAUACUGAUGUGAAUUUCUUCGGAGUAAGAAAUCCUCAGAGGAAAUUACCCAGUAUAUUCAAAGCUACAAGGGAUUUGUUGACAUAACGGUCUGUUUUCAAGGUCAGUUUCCGGAAACAGUGACCCUGAGAAGGCUUCCUCCUGAGUAUGCAUAAACAUUCACAGCUUGCAUGCGUGUGUGUGUGUGUGUGUGUGUGUGUGUGUGUGUGUGUAUGUUUGCUUGCACUGCAUAAAAACAAUUGCAACAUCAACAGAAAUAAAAAUUAAAGGAAUAAUUCUCCUCCGACUCUGCCGUUCCAUCCAGUGAAACUCUUCAUUCUGGGG
rnacentral:lncRNA from 1 species